rnacentral:rRNA from 1 species
GACGAACGCUGGCGGCGUGCUUAACACAUGCAAGUCGAACGGAAAGGCCCUGCUUUUGUGGGGUGCUCGAGUGGCGAACUGGUGAGUAACACGUGAGUAACCUGCCCUUGACUUUGGGAUAACUUCAGGAAACUGGGGCUAAUACCGGAUAGGAGCUCCUGCUGCAUGGUGUGGGUUGGAAAGUUUCGGCGGUUGGGGAUGGACUCUCGGCUUAUCAGCUUGUUGGUUGGGUAGUGGCUUACCAAGGCUUUGACGGGUAGCCGGCCUGAGAGGGUGACCGGCAACAUUGGGACUGAGAUACGGCCCAGACUCAUACGGGAGGCAGCAGUGAGGAAUAUUGCAAAAUGGGCGGAAGCCUGAUGCAGCAACGCCGCGUGCGGGAUGACGGCCUUCGGGUUGUAAACCGCUUUCGCCUGUGACGAAGCGUGAGUGACGGUAAUGGGUAAAGAAGCACCGGCUAACUACGUG